GCCGCAGUGGUGAAAUGGCAGACACGCUGGUCUUAGAAGCCAGUGCCCUUGGGCGUGGGGGUUCAAGUCCCUCCUGCGGCA
rnacentral:tRNA from 1 species